rnacentral:lncRNA from 1 species
UGCGCAAAGCGUCCCUCACCUGUGACGUCACAGCGUCAUCCGCCGCCAGGAACAUCAACAAAGCGGUCAGUUUGUGGUCCGUGCAGUCAGCAAGAAGACAAACACUUCAUGCAAUCACGCAAAUAUUAUCAUGAUUUUGAUGCUGCAAACCGGAGAUGCAUAGCUGCGGAAGACACGUCUGAAGUGGAAACUUAAAACGAAGCUUCAGAUAUGAAGCAAAGAAUGCCAAGAAUAACAAAUAUAAGAGAUUCCAGAUCGUUCCAGAUUUCCAAAGUACUGAAACGCACACCAUACAGGCUUGGUGGAUCUCGAUGCAAGGUAAAAUAAUUUAUUUACUUGUACAGUAUAUAUUUUUAGCUAAUUAUCAGUAU